GGAAGUGGCCCGCCCUGACUCAGCCUGAGUCAUCUUGUUCCAAUGAGAACGGAGGCUGAGGUGUGCGCCUUUUUUUCCCCCCCUUUUUGGUCUCAAUUGUAUGGACAUCACUGGGAAUGGAGGGAACUAAGUGACUGUAGGGCUGCUACCUUGCAAGUUUCAAAACCGUGGUUGUGCCUGAGCCCUGGGAACUUCUUGGAAUCAUCAUAGAGCAGCCCUCAGCUUCUCCCUGAAUAACUGGGAGAUGAAACAGGAAGCUCUAUGACACACUUGAGCGAAAAUGACACAGACACUGAAAAAUCAGGACUCACACCCGCCCCCAUCCAGUGCCUCUACCUGCUGCCCACUGAUCACCCCCAGAAAGCAGCUGAAGGGUUUACCUGGCAUUGGAUUCCUGGGACCUGUUUGGUGGUGAUAAUUUUGCAAUCUUUUUUCAUGAAUUCCCCCAGUUGAUUCUCCAUUUAUCUGGUUAGUCUUUUGUAUCCUAAAUCCCUUCUCCUUCAUUAAAAGGAAAUUUAAA